rnacentral:rRNA from 1 species
GAUGAACGCUGGCGGCGUGCCUAAUACAUGCAAGUCGAGCGAACGGACGAGAAGCUUGCUUCUCUGAUGUUAGCGGCGGACGGGUGAGUAACACGUGGAUAACCUACCUAUAAGACUGGGAUAACUUCGGGAAACCGUAGCUAAUACCGGAUAAUAUUUUGAACCGCAUGGUUCAAAAGUGAAAGACGGUCUUGCUGUCACUUAUAGAUGGAACCGCGCUGCAUUAGCUAGUUGGUAAGGUAACGGCUUACCAAGGCAACGAUGCAUAGCCGACCUGAGAGGGUGAUCAGCCACACUGGAACUGAGACACGGUCCAGACUCCUACGGGAGGCAGCAGUAGGGAAUCUUCCGCAAUGGGCGAAAGCCUGACGGAGCAACGCCGCGUGAGUGAUGAAGGUCUUCGGAUCGUAAAACUCUGUUAUUAGGGAAGAACAUAUGUGUAAGUAACUGUGCACAUCUUGACGGUACCUAAUCAGAAAGCCACGGCUAACUACGUG